CCUACGGGUGGCAGCAGUGGGGAAUAUUGGGCAAUGGGCGCAAGCCUGACCCAGCAACGCCGCGUGAAGGAAGAAGGCCCUCGGGUUGUAAACUUCUUUUAUCAGGGACGAAGAAGUGACGGUACGUGAUGAAUAAGCCACGGCUAACUACGUGCCAGCAGCCGCGGUAAUACGUAGGUGGCUAGCGUUAUCCGUAUUUACUGGGUGUAAAGGGCGUGUAGGCGGGGAAGCAAGUCAGAUGUGAAAUUCCAGGGCUCAACCCUGGAAAUGCAUUUGAAACAGUUUUUCGUGAGUGAUGGAGAGGCAGGCGGAAUUCCGUGUGUAGCGGUGAAAUGCGUAGAUAUACGGAGGAACACCAGUGGCGAAGGCGGCCUGCUGGACAUUAACUGACGCUGAGGCGCGAAAGCGUGGGGAGCAAACAGGAUUAGAUACCCGAGUAGUC
rnacentral:rRNA from 1 species